UAAGUUAAUAAGGGCGCACGGUGGAUGCCUUGGCACUAGGAGCCGACGAAGGACGUGACAAACGACGAUAUGCCUUGGGUAGCUGUAAGUAAGCGAUGAUCCAGGGAUUUCCGAAUGGGGGAACCCAACAGGUAAUACCUGUUACCUACAUCUGUUAAGGAUGUGAGGAGGAAGACGCAGUGAACUGAAACAUCUAAGUAGCUGCAGGAAGAGAAAGCAAAAGCGAUUGCCUUAGUAGCGGCGAGCGAAACGGCAGAAGGGCAAACCGAAGAGUUUACUCUUCGGGGUUGUAGGACUGCAAUGUGGACUCAAAGAUUAUAGAAGAAUGAUUUGGGAAGAUCAGCCAAAGAGAGUAAUAGCCUCGUAUUUAAAAUAGUCUUUGUACUUAGCAGUAUCCUGAGUACGGCGGGACACGUGAAAUCCCGUCGGAAUCUGGGAGGACCAUCUCCCAACCCUAAAUACUCCCUAGUGACCGAUAGUGAACCAGUACCGUGAGGGAAAGGUGAAAAGCACCCCGGGAGGGGAGUGAAAUAGAACCUGAAACCGUGUGCCUACAACAAGUUCGAGCCCGUUAAUGGGUGAGAGCGUGCCUUUUGUAGAAUGAACCGGCGAGUUACGUUAUGAUGCGAGGUUAAGUUGAAGAGACGGAGCCGUAGGGAAACCGAGUCUGAAUAGGGCGCCUUAGUAUCAUGACGUAGACCCGAAACCAUGUGACCUACCCAUGAGCAGGUUGAAGGUGCGGUAAGACGCACUGGAGGACCGAACCAGGGCACGUUGAAAAGUGCUUGGAUGACUUGUGGGUAGCGGAGAAAUUCCAAACGAACUUGGAGAUAGCUGGUUCUCUCCGAAAUAGCUUUAGGGCUAGCGUCGACAUUAGAGAUUCUUGGAGGUAGAGCACUGUUUGGGUGAGGGGUCCAUCCCGGAUUACCAAUCUCAGAUAAACUCCGAAUGCCAAUGAAUUAUGGUCGGCAGUCAGACUGCGAGUGCUAAGAUCCGUAGUCGAAAGGGAAACAGCCCAGACCACCAGCUAAGGUCCCAAAAUAAUUGUUAAGUGGAAAAGGAUGUGGGGUUGCACAGACAACUAGGAUGUUAGCUUAGAAGCAGCUAUUCAUUCAAAGAGUGCGUAAUAGCUCACUAGUCGAGUGACCCUGCGCCGAAAAUGUACCGGGGCUAAAACAAUUUACCGAAGCUGUGGAUACCUUUAUAGGUAUGGUAGGAGAGCGUUCUAUGUGUGAUGAAGGUAUACCGUGAGGAGUGCUGGAACGCAUAGAAGUGAGAAUGCCGGUAUGAGUAGCGAAAGACAGGUGAGAAUCCUGUCCACCGUAAGACUAAGGUUUCCAGGGGAAGGCUCGUCCGCCCUGGGUUAGUCGGGACCUAAGGAGAGACCGAAAGGUGUAUCCGAUGGACAACAGGUUGAUAUUCCUGUACUAGAGUAUGUAGUGAUGGAGGGACGCAGUAGGCUAACUAAAGCAGACGAUUGGAAGAGUCUGUCUAAGCAGUGAGGUGUGAAUUGAGUCAAAUGCUUAAUUCUAUAACAUUGAGCUGUGAUGGGGAGCGAAGUUUAGUAGCGAAGUUAGUGACGUCACACUGCCAAGAAAAGCUUCUAGCGUUUAAACAUACUCUACCCGUACCGCAAACCGACACAGGUAGUCGAGGCGAGUAGCCUCAGGUGAGCGAGAGAACUCUCGUUAAGGAACUCGGCAAAAUGACCCCGUAACUUCGGGAGAAGGGGUGCUGACUUAAAGUCAGCCGCAGUGAAUAGGCCCAAGCAACUGUUUAUCAAAAACACAGCUCUCUGCUAAAUCGUAAGAUGAUGUAUAGGGGGUGACGCCUGCCCGGUGCUGGAAGGUUAAGAGGAGUGCUUAGCGUAAGCGAAGGUAUGAAUUGAAGCCCCAGUAAACGGCGGCCGUAACUAUAACGGUCCUAAGGUAGCGAAAUUCCUUGUCGGGUAAGUUCCGACCCGCACGAAAGGCGUAAUGAUUUGGGCACUGUCUCAACGAGAGACUCGGUGAAAUUUUAGUACCUGUGAAGAUGCAGGUUACCCGCGACAGGACGGAAAGACCCCAUGGAGCUUUACUGCAGUUUGAUAUUGAGUGUCUGUACCACAUGUACAGGAUAGGUAGGAGUCUAAGAGAUCGGGACGCCAGUUUCGAAGGAGACGCUGUUGGGAUACUACCCUUGUGUUAUGGCCACUCUAACCCAGAUAGGUGAUCCCUAUCGGAGACAGUGUCUGACGGGCAGUUUGACUGGGGCGGUCGCCUCCUAAAAGGUAACGGAGGCGCCCAAAGGUUCCCUCAGAAUGGUUGGAAAUCAUUCGCAGAGUGUAAAGGUAUAAGGGAGCUUGACUGCGAGAGCUACAACUCGAGCAGGGACGAAAGUCGGGCUUAGUGAUCCGGUGGUUCCGUAUGGAAGGGCCAUCGCUCAACGGAUAAAAGCUACCCUGGGGAUAACAGGCUUAUCUCCCCCAAGAGUUCACAUCGACGGGGAGGUUUGGCACCUCGAUGUCGGCUCGUCGCAUCCUGGGGCUGUAGUCGGUCCCAAGGGUUGGGCUGUUCGCCCAUUAAAGCGGCACGCGAGCUGGGGUUCAGAACGUCGUGAGACAGUUCGGUCCCUAUCCGUCGCGGGCGUAGGAAAUUUGAGAGGAUCUGCUCCUAGUACGAGAGGACCAGAGUGGACUUACCGCUGGUGUACCAGUUGUCUUGCCAAAGGCAUCGCUGGGUAGCUAUGUAGGGAAGGGAUAAACGCUGAAAGCAUCUAAGUGUGAAACCCACCUCAAGAUGAGAUUUCCCAUGAUUAUAUAUCAGUAAGAGCCCUGAGAGAUGAUCAGGUAGAUAGGUUAGAAGUGGAAGUGUGGCGACACAUGUAGCGGACUAAUACUAAUAGCUCGAGGACUUAUCCA
rnacentral:rRNA from 1 species